UAGAACUACGCAGAGUAUUCCAAAGGUC
rnacentral:piRNA from 1 species